GGAUGCGAUCAUACCAGCACUAAAGCACCGGAUCCCAUUAGAACUCCGAAGUUAAGCGUGCUUAGGCGAGAGUAGUACUAGGAUGGGUGACCUUAUUUUUUUGCGCCCCAUGAGAAAAAGAACGCAUGUGUGUGAU
rfam:Triticum aestivum genome assembly, contig: Triticum_aestivum_CS42_TGACv1_scaffold_393665_5AS